AAAUAGGUCAGCUAAUUUAAGCUUAUGGGUUCAUACCCCAUCAAUAAAGGUUUUAACCCUUUCCUCUUUA
rnacentral:tRNA from 1 species